rnacentral:rRNA from 2 species
UACGAAGGGGGCUAGCGUUGCUCGGAUUUACUGGGCGUAAAGGGCGCGUAGGCGGACAUUUAAGUCAGGGGUGAAAUCCCGGGGCUCAACCUCGGAACUGCCUUUGAUACUGGGUGUCUUGAGUAUGAGAGAGGUGUGUGGAACUCCGAGUGUAGAGGUGAAAUUCGUAGAUAUUCGGAAGAACACCAGUGGCGAAGGCGACACACUGGCUCAUUACUGACGCUGAGGCGCGAAAGCGUGGGGAGCAAACAGG